rnacentral:tRNA from 1 species
UUAGCCCAGUUGGAUAGAGCGUCAGACUCCGAUUCUGAAGGCCGCGGGUUCGAGUCCCGCA